UGUAAUAUGCUAAUAAUGAAAAAAAAAUACUAUUUAUGAAAUAAACAAUAAAUGAUGGUAUUUUUUUAAAAUAAUAGUUAAAAAAGGAUAAGUGGGUAAAAAACUCCAAAAUUUUCCAUAAGAAACGUUCUGCAAUUUCUUCUUCAUAACAAAAACUCACUCAAACCAUGUAAAUUUAAUCUCUUCUCCCCCACAGAUGUCACAGUUCAACCCCAUGAACACCACCGAAUCUCCACCCAACAACUCCUCUUACCGGUAAAACAAAGUCAAAAUUCAGUAAGCUUUAGAUUUUAGGUGCUCGGAUCCAAGAAAAGGGAAAGUAGCGCGGCUGCCGUUCGAGGUUCGGGCUGAGUUCCUAUUUGCCGAUUUCAUUUUCCGGUCGAAGGUUCUGUUUUCGGCCAGUAGCACAGUCAUAUUUUCUGAGAUAACAGAGGUCUAUCUCUUCUUCUUUCUCUGUUUCAUUUCGUGUUAUUCUUAUAUGAUGGUUCAAUGAGAAGAUUUAUGUGAAUUCUUGCUUGCUUGUGAUAUCUUAAGGAAGAGUUUCUGCUUUUAAUUGAAAUUGCACUAUUUGAUUUGUUGGAUACUAGUGACCAUCGUUCAGUUAGUAUGUUUAUUUAGAUUAAAAUGGAAAAAACAUGGAUUGCUAGGAUGGUGUGAUGUUAAAGGUUCUGUGAAGAUUUGGAAUUCGUGGUUUGCGUUUCUUUUGUGUUCGUCAUUGUACUAUGCUUCAAUUUUCAUUUUAAAUUCCUUUUAUUUAGUCAUUGAUCUUAUUUGAUGGUGUUCGUUUAUCAGUAACCACGAAUCUGGUCCUAACUUUAAACAUUGAUUUAAUGUAAUGUUAGUGGAUAAUUUGAAGUUGGGUUGUGGUUGGUUUAGAAUCAGAUUUGAGUCUUGGUUAAUAAUUCUGAAAGAAUUUGAGCUUAAGAAAGUUUCUGUUAUUCUUGUUUUAUUUCUCUUUUUAAUUACGAAGAUCGCUAGGAGCAUGCUAGGCCGUCAUCACUUGGGUAGGCAAACCUUAGGUCUUUUAUUUCAUUUUUAUUUGAGGUGAGAGGUCGUUCCCUUUAGUUUAUACUUGGUGAAAUGCCCCGUGAAUUUUGUAUAUAUUUUUAUCCGGGGUAUGCCCUGUAGUGAAUGUAAUUGGAGGCUGUGACAGAUAUCGCACAGUAAGCAUAGUAUAAACUUUUAGUAUUUUCUCUUAUUUUAUUUUCUUUUAUUUAGGUGGGGACGACCUCUAGCCCCUUGUGUGUUUAUUUUUCUUUCGUGUGUUUUUGCCUCAGUUUGAGUAUUAUCAAGUACGCAACCGUGACCUUCACGGGACUUGGGGAAUGCCUAACACCUUCUCCCCGAGUCAAAUGAACCCCUUUAUCUAGAAUCUCUGGUGCAAACUGGUUUAUAGCCAAACAUGUUUUUAAGAAAAAAUUAUUUUUAUAUGGUGACUUGACAUGCCGAGAUUAUAUGCCAAGUGGCGACUCUGAGAAAAUUCCUUUUAAACAAAUGUUUUGUCACUUUCAUGAUUGAAAACCCUUUUUUAGCUUUAAAAUCACUUUUAUUCUAUUUAAAGGGGUUAAAGGGUAAAAAAAGGGGUGUGACAGCAUGCUUUUUAUGUUAAGCAAUAUUGUUGGUUACAUAUAUGUUUCAAACUUAUAUUAAUAUUUUCGCACUUUGAUUUAUAUCAUCCAGACUUACUUUCAGUAUAUCAGCACGUACUAGUUUAUCUUACGCAUUUCAGUAUAUUAUGAUAUCACAUGUUGAUUCAGCCAGCCAGUUGAUUCGCUCAGUCAUAUAUAGUCAGGCAGCGGGUGCCGUGUUACGUCCGGGCUCAGUUUCGGAGUUUCGAGCCUAACUUGCGUACUUCAAUAUUCCAUUUGAUACCAAUUACUUCUCACUAUCACGCUCUGCUCAACAAUGCUUAGUUAGAUCAUAGAUGUAUAAAUAUUACUUACUGAUUAUCAAUACACCUAUCAGUUACCUGAACGGAAUACUUUAUGUAUAUAACUUUUUAAAAUGGGUCGCAUCUACGUUACUUCUCUGGCUUAGAUAAG
rnacentral:lncRNA from 1 species